AUGCACGCUGGCGGCGUGCCUAACACAUGCAAGUCGCACGGAGUCCAGCCUUUAAGACCUUCGGGUCAAAGAGGGGAAGACUGAGUGGCGGACGGGUGAGUAACACGUGGGCAACCUGGCUCAUAGAGGGGGAUAACAGAGAGAAAUUUCUGCUAAUACCGCAUAAGCACACACUGCCGCAUGGCAGAGGGUGAAAAGAGAAUCGCUAUGAGAUGGACCCGCGUCUGAUUAGCCAGUUGGCAGGGUAAGAGCCUACCAAAGCGACGAUCAGUAGCCGAUCUGAGAGGAUGAACGGCCACAUUGGGACUGAGACACGGCCCAAACUCCUACGGGAGGCAGCAGUGGGGGAUAUUGCACAAUGGGGGGAACCCUGAUGCAGCGACGCCGCGUGAGUGAAGAAGUAUUUCGGUAUGUAAAGCUCUAUCAGCAGGGAAGAUAAUGACAGUACCUGAAUAAGAAGCCCCGGCUAACUACGU
rnacentral:rRNA from 1 species